rnacentral:rRNA from 1 species
GGGGAAUAUUGGACAAUGGGCGCAAGCCUGAUCCAGCCAUGCCGCGUGGGUGAAGAAGGCCUUCGGGUUGUAAAGCCCUUUUGUUGGGAAAGAAAAGCAGCCGGCCAAUACCCGGUUGUUCUGACGGUACCCAAAGAAUAAGCACCGGCUAACUUCGUGCCAGCAGCCGCGGUAAUACGAAGGGUGCAAGCGUUAAUCGGAAUUACUGGGCGUAAAGCGCGCGUAGGUGGUUCGUUAAGUUGGAUGUGAAAGCCCCGGGCUCAACCUGGGAACUGCAUCCAAAACUGGCGAGCUAGAGUAUGGCAGAGGGUAGUGGAAUUCCCGGUGUAGCAGUGAAAUGCGUAGAGAUCGGGAGGAACAUCAGUGGCGAAGGCGACUGCCUGGGCCAACACUGACACUGAGGCACGAAAGCGUGGGGAGCAAACA